rnacentral:lncRNA from 1 species
UAAAAUAUAUAUUGUUAGCAGUUUACACAAGUAUAUAUUAACAUUUCUCAAGGCUUGUCAAUGGUGAGCGAUUACUGUAUAUUAUUUCAAGAGAAUGCAAUCAAGUGUGAUUGGAUCCCAUAAUUAGAUUAUAUGGAAAUGAGUUAAGCAGAUCUCUCCAUAUGGUAAUCCUGUAUACAAGAAUAACUUAUAAAUUAUGAUAAAUAUUCCCAAAGUGUCCAUCAAAACACAUUAUUCAUCAAACUGCCUUCAAAAGAGCAAUAGCUGUGUCCAUUCCCUAGAACAAUGUAGGAAAGAGCUUGCUUCUAAUUAACAAAAGACUGUAUUAAGAACUUUUAUGUUUUCCAAUUUGAUAGAGAAAUUGUGUCAAGUUAAUAUUAUAUCUGUUUUCCCAAUCAGCAUUGAGGCUGUUUGCUUUUCGUACUAAAAUGAUCAUAUUUCUUUUACUAUUAAAUUUAAUGUUUUAUGUCCCAUGCCUUUUUUUAUUCCCAUUUUCAAUUUGAUUCAGAGGAGAUCCUGGUAUAUAUUAUACAUAUGGAAUCUUCUCCUAUAGCAGGUGGAUGUGCCUGCACACAACAGAGAAGAAAUCUGCCCUGGAAGCUGUUGUCACAAGUCAGCUGCCUGUCAAGAAACCUGCCAUGAGGUCCUCUUCCCUGUGGUGUUCUCCCGAACAGUGACGUAAAAUGACCUUCUCCUUACCUCAUGGAAAAAAUGAAAUACAGGCAAUGGCUGUCACUGAGCCCCCCCAGCCACAUGCCAGAUACUUUGGCCAGGACCCCACCGUCAUUGUCAAGCUUUUCAUCGGAUCGAAUUCCCAGCCAAGGAAAGAGAUACAAAGGUGUGGGAAGACCUUGAUUUACAAAGACCUCAUCUUACUGGCUCACCUUUUCAUAAGGUGCUUCCCAAUAAUACACAUCAACAUGUGCACCCAAGAAAAAUCACUUCAGUCGAUUUCCAGCUUCCAGAAGCACUCUAUGUAUAAAGCAGAGCAGAAGAUUUGA